rnacentral:lncRNA from 1 species
GAAAAUCUAAUUAUUAAUCUAUCAGAUUGUAUUUUUGUGUUUUACAUUAUAAAACAUUGCUUUUGUUUGUUUUAUCAGCAAACCAAGAAAAUAAACUUUCACGUCACACUUAUGAACAUCGUAUCAAAAAGUAUGACGUCAGGUCCGAGACCACAAUUAUUUCGUAGUGCAUUUCUUUUAGAACAUAAAUGAAAAUAAAAAAAAUCCCACCUGCGCUUUCUCAAAGAAACUUUUACAGUGUGUUGUUCUACUUUUAGGACAAAUUAUAUCAAAAUUAUAGAAAACUUCAUCGUCUCUAACUCAAAAUAUGGACAAUUUUAUGUUUAGGGCGUCUUGAAAUUUUUUGACAGCUUCCGAAGUGCUAAUUUUAAAUCUUUUUCAGCUGGACCAAAUCACUACUUUCCUUUAAAAUUCUAGACCCAAAUUUUUUACAGUGUAAUUUCACCCCCUACUUGCAAUUUGAGGCAUUAAACAUGGAGAAAUAAAUUUGGAAGGGGUAUAAAAAUUAAUGGCAAGUAGCCCACUGUCAACACUAGGGACUAUAUUUGUGAACAACGAAAAUCAAGGGACGACAAUGGUGGUCUCGGACCUAAUAGGGUAGAAAGAGUUGACAAAUCUUUAAAAAACUUGGUAUGACCAAAGCUUAAUAAAUUAUAACACUGCUUACAAAGUUUCAUGACAAUAGGAUGUAUAUUAAUACAUUAAGUUAAGUUCUAUACUCAUCUUUGCGUGUAAAAUUUUGACGUUAAAAUUGAAAAAUUUUAACUAUCAACAUUUGGGGCUUUAAAAAUUAAAAUAUUGCAAAAAAAUACUUUUUAAAUGCCUUAAUAUAUAACUUAUCAUGUACUUAAAGCAAUAGAGGACUCAUUUGAUUUAUCAGACUUGCCAUAAUUAUUCAAAAGUCAAAUUUAUAUGAGCCUGCGCCUAAAAAUUGAGGUUUAUCAAUGAAGGGAGGCCUUACAUGAAGAUGUAAUAUUUUCCAGCAAUUUUAAAUUUGUGAAGCUUUUUGGUUAUAAAUAAUCCUGACAUAUGUAUGGAAAGUACUUUAAAUGGAAAGAAAAGUUACAAAUAACAUAUCAUAUUAGUUUAAAAGGUCUUAGGCCAAGUAAGACUGGAAAAACUUUAGGGUCAAUUUAGGCCGUGCCACAUAUUUACAUUAAAAAAUGCAUAUCGAGGCUAUAAGAAAUAAAAAUUUGUGUCUUUUUUAUCAUUUCUAUACUCAUGUGACAUGGUACAACAAAUCUGAGCACAAAAAGACUCUUGCAAUUAACUUUUCUUACAAACAGUAUGGUCUGAUACAAAGAUGUUUGCCUUUUUAGGGAAAAACUUGCAUGCAAUUUAUUCUCAACAGGCUUAAAUUUAAACCACUUGCUAUCCUACAGAAGAAAAGAAAGAUAUUAUGUGAAAUGGAACAGGUAUAAUAGAUAUUGUAAAGUGCAUUUGAUACAAAUUUAGUGAGGUCUUUAUUAUGGACAUCAAAUUUUAUGUACCAUGCUCCCCACUAUUGACUUCAUCCAAACAAGGCGUUAGACAAGGGUCAUUUAUACAACACAUUUUACACAUUUUGUCUGAGAUAAUUUUCUUUUCUGUAGAUUCAGAGUUCAAAAAUAAAGUCAAAGAAGUAGAUAAAGGCAUAGAAACACAAAUAUUGACACAUGAAAACCUGUCAGAUAGAAAGUCAGGAUGCCAUUUAUGCAUCAAUAUUGAAAAAGUUAUAAAAUGCCUAUUUUGACCAUAAAAUGCCAAAAUUGGUCAUUUUUGCAGAAAUUCUAUAAAAUAAAAGUUUAAAUCCUUUAGUUUCAUGCUAUAUGACAAAUUGACACAAUCAAAUCAUUUAGGGAAGUUGCCAAAGUACAGAUUCUAUAUUUACAGAUUUCACCUCUUAGGUACGAGACCACAAUUAUUUCGUAGUGCAUUUCUUUUAGAACAUAAAUAAAAAUAAAAAAAUCCCACCUGCGCUUUCUCAAAGAAACUUUUACAGUGUGUUGUACUACUUUUGGGACAAAUUAUAUCAAAAUGAUAGAAAACUUCAUCGUCUCUAACUCAAAAUAAGGACAAUUUUAUGUUUAGGGCGUCUUGAAAUCUUUUAAACAGCUUCCGAAGUGCUAAUUUUAAACCUUUUUCAGCUGGACCAAAUCACUACUUUCCCUGAAAAUUCUGGACCCAAUUUUUUUUUUACAGUGUAAUUUCACCCCCUACUUGCAAUUUGAGGCAUUAAACAUGAAGAAAUAAAUUUGGAAGGGGUAUAAAAAUUAAUGGCAAGUAAUCCACUGUCAACACUAUGGACUAUAUAAUCAAGGGACGAUAAUGGUGGUCUCGGACCGUCAGUGUUGUAGUCAAAUCAAGCAUGUUGACGCCUCCAAGCCAUCCAUCACAUGCAAUAUAAUAACGAACUGAGCAGAGAUACAAAUAAUGUUAUUUUUGCAUGCUAAAAUUUGGUCACGUUAAAAAAAGAAAGGAAAGUUACCACCCGAUUAGUCUAAAUGUUGUAUCGUUUAAAUACUUAUUGCAAUUUGUUUCCUUGCUUGUGUUAAUAUUUUACAGAAAAUAUGUACAUUAGUAUCAGACGUAUUUGCCUUUGUAUGUGGCAAUAGGAAAUGGUACAUAAUGGAUUAUCUAACGUUUACCAAAGAUUAUUUGAAAAGCC